UGGCGCAACAGUGAUGAAGGUUCUUGCUGCCCCGGCUGGAGAUGAACACUCUCCCUCCCCCCCUCAUCCCUUCCCAUUGUGUCUUCUUUCUCUUCACACUUUCCCUCUCCCCCUUCUGAUUAUAUCCUCAUUUGUGAAAAAUGUAAAAAUGUUCAUGCAUGCAUAUGGUGAUCAUGAGAUAGGUAAGCGCAGUAGAGCACCAAAGACAGACCCAGCACAAACUUAGAUGCAGUUAUGCAUCAGGGGCUCAGAAAUACAUUUCCUAUGAUGUCGCACAAUCACCAUGCCUUCGUGCACGAGAGAUGCACGUAACAU